AACGAACGCUGGCGGCAGGCUUAACACAUGCAAGUCGAACGGUUGUAGCAAUACAGCAGUGGCGCACGGGUGAGUAAUACAUGGGAACGUGCCUUUCAGUUCAGGAUAACGUCGGGAAACUGACGCUAAUACUGAAUAUUCUCUACGGAGGAAAGAUUUAUCGCUGAAAGAUCGGCCCAUGCCAGAUUAGCUAGUUGGUGAGGUAAUGGCUCACCAAGGCUACGAUCUGUAGCGGGUCUGAGAGGACGAUCCGCCACACUGGUACUGAGACACGGACCAGACUCCUACGGGAGGCAGCAGUGGGGAAUAUUGGACAAUGGGGGAAACCCUGAUCCAGCCAUGCCGCGUGAGUGAUGAAGGCCUUAGGGUUGUAAAGCUCUUUUGUCAGGGAAGAUGAUGACGGUACCUGAAGAAUAAGCACCGGCUAACUUCGUGCCAGCAGCCGCCGUAA
rnacentral:rRNA from 1 species